CGCGAAAGAUGGCGACUGUUCGGCGACGUUGAGGCCGCGUUAGGCGGUUCAGGCGCGGGGUGAUGGCAGGAGAACUGGCUGACAAGAAGGACCGAGACGCAUCACCCAAGGAAGAAAGGAAGCGAUCGCGGACUCCUGAAAGAGAUCGCGAUAGAGACCGGGACCGGAAGUCCUCCCCAUCUAAAGACCGGAAGAGGCAUCGCUCACGGGAUAGGCGUCGAGGAGGUAGUCGUUCUCGCUCUCGGUCCCGUUCCAAGUCUACAGAGAGGGAACGACGGCACAAAGAACGGGAACGAGAUAAAGAACGGGAUCGGAGUAAGAAGGAGCGGGAGCGGGACAAGGAUGGCCACCGGCGGGACAAGGACCGCAAGAGAUCCAGCUUGUCUCCUGGUCGAGGAAAAGAUUUCAAGUCUCGGAAGGACAGAGAUUCUAAGAAGGGUGACGAGGAUGAGCAUGGUGACAAGAGGCCUAAGAUCCAGCCACUGUCCCUGGAGGAACUUCUGGCCAAGAAAAAGGCUGAGGAAGAAGCUGAAGCUAAGCCUAAAUUCCUCUCCAAAGCAGAGCGAGAGGCUGAAGCUCUGAAGCGGCGGCAGCAGGAGGUGGAGGAGCGACAGAAGAUGCUCGAAGAAGAGAGGAAGAAGAGGAAACAGUUCCAGGAUUUGGGCAGGAAGAUGCUGGAAGACCCUCAGGAAAGGGAACGGAGGGAACGCAGGGAAAGGAUGGAGCGAGAGACCAAUGGCAACGAGGAUGAGGAGGGCCGGCAGAAGAUCCGGGAGGAGAAGGACAAGAGCAAGGAGCUGCACGCUAUUAAGGAGCGUUACCUGGGUGGCAUCAAAAAACGGCGCCGGACAAGGCAUCUCAAUGACCGCAAGUUUGUGUUUGAGUGGGAUGCGUCUGAAGACACCUCCAUUGACU
rnacentral:lncRNA from 1 species